GACGAACGCUGGCGGCGUGCCUAAUACAUGCCAGUAGAACGCUGAAGGAGGAGCUUGCUCUUCUGGAUGAGUUGCGAACGGGUGAGUAACGCGUAGGUAACCUGCCUGGUAGCGGGGGAUAACUAUUGGAAACGAUAGCUAAUACCGCAUAACAGUAGAUGUUGCAUGACAUUUACUUAAAAGGUGCACUUGCAUCACUGCCAGAUGGCUCUGCGUUGUAUUAGCUAGUUGGUGGGGUAACGGCUCACCAAGGCGACGGUACAUAGCCGACCUGAGAGGGUGAUAGGCCACGCUGGGAUGGAAGCACGGCCCAGAACCCUACGGGAGGGAGCAGUAGGGGAUCCUUGGGAAAGGAAGGAAGGCGGAACGAGGAACGACGCGUGAGGGAAGAAGGGUGUCGGAUCGUAAAGGUCAGUUAUAACAGAAGGUCGAGAGUGAGUGUUGAAAGUGCACACUGUGACGGUACCUUAAGAGAAAGGGACGGCUAACUCCGUG
rnacentral:rRNA from 1 species